UCAGCCAUCUCAGAUGCAGGGAUCUGGAGGACAGAGAUGGAGCCCGGGAGCCCACCAGCACAGGAGCUGCAGCUGCAGUUUGCUGCCCCCGUGGCUGGGACACUGGGCGAGUUGCCCAAGACCUCGUCCUUCUCCACAGACAUCAAUCUCUAAGUCCACAGCUCUCCCAAGGUGCUCUCGGAUGGUCCAUAAGUGAAAGGACCUCUGUGAUUAGACCACGACACCCUGUCUUUGCCAUCCCCUCCUUUCAGGAACCUUCUGUGGCAUUUUUCAGAGGCACCUUGAUCUGUGACAUCACAGCAAUUUAAUGUGGAAGGAGGAGCGAGAGAUUGGCUGUUUGCUGUGUGGCUGUGAGCAGUGUCCUCAUGACUGAUACUGUUUUGGAAAAGUGAAGCCUCCUGAAUACUAAGAAGGUGUUCUACCCUCAGGAAUUUGUAGGAGUCCCACCGAGGAGGGCUUAUGAGGUCCUACCCUCUCCCUCAGGAGCUACAGGCAGGUGAAGUUGCUGGGAGAGGGGCAGUCCUGUUCCCUAGUUGUACAGCCGCUGUUCUGCAGGUUUGAGUAAAUCAUCAACUUCACUGUUUAUCUUUCCAAUCUAUAAAAUGGGAGCCACAAUGCACAUCUGAGAAGGGAGCCCACACGCAGCUGACGCCGGGGAGGCUAACAACAUGGACAGCGGGUUUCCAGCCUCCACAGGAUAUAUGCUUCCCUCGGAAGAAGGGUUCUUCCUUCUGCCAAACCUCGGUCAUCUUGGUAUGCCACAAAAUGCUUGGAUCACAGAGACGAAUGGUAGUAGAUCACACAAAGCUUCUUCAUUCAGAUGAAAGGACAAACAACCCCCAAAGCCAAAAACAAAAACCCAACCUGAAGAUGCUUAGGUCUCCCAGGAGCAGCCCACUUUAUUCAAAUGUUGGAUGACAGU